rnacentral:lncRNA from 1 species
CUGCAGAUAGUAAGGGCUCGGAUUUCUUCUUCCGCCCUGGCGGCCCGGAGACUUCCUCAGAGCCUGUGUUGCCAGGCAGGCCAGCCCUCAUUACUCCGUUUCCCAGGGCCCCGCAUUUUAGUUCUACGACUUUGAAACGUGUUGCCUUCCACGUUCUCCCUGGAAAGAAGCAGGCUAUCAUUAAUGACAGAAUAGAAAACAAAAGACCCUUAAUUUGGCCAUGUAUGAAGCUAUUUCAGAAAUGGGUCCUGCUCUGUUAAGCCUCCGGACAACAGCCACCCCUGCCAACCUCCUGACUGCAAACUCAGGGCGCUGGUGCCACCAGCAGUGAAUAACAGAAUGAGACAGGAGAAAAGGGCUCAAGGCUCCUCAACAGUUUGAAGAGAUCCAGACUCUUAAUGUCUGCAGGACACAACAAUAUUGUGCUGUAAGGGCCAGUGCAGUGGCCUGGCUCAUCCUUGAAAGCAGGCUUGACACUCACCUCUGCAUCUCAGCUGACAGCCACGGAGCAGUGCUUGGAGAGAGGACGGUGCGCUAGCUCGCGGGGCGCGUGCUGGUCUGGCCACUACCAGCAGAGGGCAGUAGUCGCCGCGGCACAGGCGGGCUGGAGGGAGCUGACCUUUCCUUGACGGAAGGCGCCCCGGGCAGACAGCUCCGCAAGGAAGAGGAAGGCUUCACAACAGAUUGAUGAGGCUGGGACUGCCUAGCUCGGGAGAUCCGUGCCCAAGACCAGACAGCCUCAGUCCUCAUCACUGCUGCCGCCGCCCAGGGACUUCAUGGUGCUGACCGGAGGGUUAACAACAGAAGGUCCCCAGAUGCCCCAGCCUGACAGUGAUGAUUCCAAGGCGGAAGAAGGGAGGGCUGUGCGGACGGCCUGGGCCUCCCUGUAGCACCCAGCACACUGCUGUGAGGACACGGCCUUCCCCAGACCAACCCAAGCAGACAACCCUUACUGCGAGUGCCUGGGAGCCCACGUGCAGCGCAUCAGUGUACAACCCUGCCACCGCGGCGCCCUUCUCCCGCUAGCUGAACACCCCAUUUACCUGGAGGAGACUCCUCUGGAAUCUACCUCCCCUGCCCAGACCUCUCUGUCGGGACAUCGUCUUGUGCCAGUGUGGUUCCUAGAACCAGCUGAGAAGUACACCUAGGAGCACAGAUGGGUAGAGAUCUUUGGCCUCCUCCACAGGACAUGGAAGGGAUCCGUAUCAUGCCGUGGUCAGUCUGGUUGUCCAGUGACUGACAUCCUCGGAGAUGAGAUAAAACAGAUGCACAGUUUCAUCCAUGGACAAAAUCUCAACACUUUAUUCAUCCCUUGGCAGGGAGAGGGGGGCACUGCCCAGUCAGGUGGGGUGGCUGGGAUAUGUGUUGUCUAAAUUCCAGAUAGUAUACACAGCACUGAUCAUGCAGAAACAGGAAGGGAAGCAAUAAGUUAAAAGCCACAUAAGUUAUGAAAAAAUAAUAUAUACUUUAUAUAUCUCAUCCCACUGAGGAUUUGCUCCCUUGGAAACCAAUAAAGAGCCCGAGAGAAAGCAG